rnacentral:rRNA from 1 species
CGAACAGACGAGGAGCUUGCUCCUCUGACGUUAGCGGCGGACGGGUGAGUAACACGUGGAUAACCUACCUAUAAGACUGGGAUAACUUCGGGAAACCGGAGCUAAUACCGGAUAAUAUAUUGAACCGUAUGGUUCAAUAGUGAAAGACGGUUUUGCAGUCACUUAUAGAUGGAUCCGCGCCGCAUUAGCUAGUUGGUAAGGUAACGGCUUACCAAGGCAACGAUGCGUAGCCGACCUGAGAGGGUGAUCGGCCACACUGGAACUGAGACACGGUCCAGACUCCUACGGGAGGCAGCAGUAGGGAAUCUUCCGCAAUGGGCGAAAGCCUGACGGAGCAACGCCGCGUGAGUGAUGAAGGUCUUCGGAUCGUAAAACUCUGUUAUUAGGGAAGAACAAAUGUGUAAGUAACUAUGCACGUCUUGACGGUACCUAAUCAGAAAGCCACGGCUAACUACGUGCCAGCAGCCGCGGUAAUACGUAGGUGGCAAGCGUUAUCCGGAAUUAUUGGGCGUAAAGCGCGCGUAGGCGGUUUUUUAAGUCUGAUGUGAAAGCCCACGGCUCAACCGUGGAGGGUCAUUGGAAACUGGAAAACUUGAGUGCAGAAGAGGAAAGUGGAAUUCCAUGUGUAGCGGUGAAAUGCGCAGAGAUAUGGAGGAACACCAGUGGCGAAGGCGACUUUCUGGUCUGUAACUGACGCUGAUGUGCGAAAG